GAAAUGCGAUAAGUAAUGUGAAUUGCAGAACUCCGCGAAUCAUCAAACCUUUGAACGCAUCUUGCGCCUGUGGGGAAAUCUGCAGGCAUGCCUGUUUGAGCACGGUUUACACUAUCAAAAAAAGACACGUUUACGUUGUUCUUUUUUGGACCUUGAGAGUCGGGAAGUGUUUUGAUCCGAACAACGAUUUGCUCUUGUUCUUGUCAAAGAUCCGUCUCUUGAAAUGAAUGCAAAGAGGAGACCGAAUUCCGAAACAAUCAUUCACCCCACUAUAUCUUUAGGCUUAACCCCGAGAUAUAGUUGAUUGAAGCGGGAAAUGGCCUCACUCGACCAAAGAAAGAGAACAGCGUUUCUGAAGCUGUAAUCCAUCAAG
rnacentral:misc_RNA from 1 species